UACGUAGGGGGCAAGCGUUGUCCGGAUUUAUUGGGCGUAAAGCGUGUGUAGGCGGCUAGGUAAGUCGGAUGUGAAAGCCCCGGGCUCAACUCGGGAAGUGCACUCGAUACUGCUUAGCUAGAGUACCGGAGAGGUUGGUGGAAUUCUCGGUGUAGAGGUGAAAUUCGUAGAUAUCGAGAGGAACACCGGUGGCGAAGGCGGCCAACUGGACGAGUACUGACGCUGAGACACGAAAGCGUGGGGAGCAAACAGG
rnacentral:rRNA from 1 species